rfam:Gorilla gorilla gorilla genomic chromosome, chr6, whole genome shotgun sequence
GUCUGCAGCCAUACCACCCUGAACACGCCUGAUCUCAUCUGAUCUCAGAAGCUAAGCAGGGUCGGGCCUGGUUAGUACUUGGAUGGGAGAAAUUACAAGAUUAAAAAGUAAUCGUGAGUA